AUUCCAUUCUGCUUGCACGUUUCACGUAGCGGUUCAUCUAUUGUCAUCUAACAUCGGUAAUUUUCUGGAAGCGUCCAUUCCAUUCAAAAAUCAUCAAGCAACAUAUUGGACCGUUGAACCCUCGUCCCACCCACAGUGGGAGCCGAACCUCUAACUUGUACUAUUUCAGUGCCACGCUUUCAUAAACUAAACAUGACAUCUAAGUUGUAGGAACCGCAUAGGCUACUUGAGUAGUAGUUGUUGUGGUUUGCGAUACAUGUUUGUAUAAGUUUGGUUUUAGUUGAUCUCCCGUUAAAGAUUCCUUUCUUUUGUCGGAGGUUUGGGCUCUUUUUAAGCAAAGAGAGAAGGAGAGAGAGAGGGGGGAAAACAAGACAAUUAAAAAGAUUGACAGGUAGGCUCCUCUGUCAGGGGUGACGCUUGUGGAGAGGGGAGGAGUAAAAAUGUAGCAGGAAAAGCCACUCGAUGCGUCUGUCUAUCAGUUGAGACUGUCUGAAACAGCUUCUGGAUCCACCGCGUUUCCAUUUUUUCUUUUUUGGUGAGACCUCGGAUCGGUCCCUGGAGUUUUUCCCCCCUCUUUGUGCUUUUAAAAGAGACACUAAAUUUUAGUCCAUGUCGACCUGAUCUGUUCUUGGCGAAGCUUGGAUGCGCCUGCGUCUUGUUUGUUUCCCCCCUCUCUCAAGUGAUAUCCUCUCCACCGCAUCAACCACCCCUCCAAAAAAACCCGACUCUGUCCAAGAUGCGAUGAGAUGAGCGGUGGAAAUUAUUUCCACGACUCUUAAAACGUCUCCGGCAAAAGCAGAAAAGGAAACACAAGGAUACACUACUUAUCAGAGCUGUGCGGUGCGCUCACACGGGACGUAUUUGUUUGGUUAAAGCCAGAGUUUAUUUAUUUUUUAGUGUUGGUGUGCGUAAAAGGCGCAACAAAGUAUCGUCCCCCUCCAAACAUCUCUGGAGAUUAAGGGGAUUUUUUUCCCAGGGGGAGUGAACUGAAAACUUGGGUUUCAAGGUGCUUUCUAGCUGCUGCUCCGUCUGUUUUUUUUAUUUACCCUGCCAUAAGAGACAUGAAGGAAGAUGAUCUUUGAAGGACAUGAAGGUGUCAGGAGCUGGCCGAAUCCCUUCGUAAAAAUUGAGCUUACUGUCGAAGCCGAUCCAGCUUUCAAGUCCACAAAAGAGCAGCCCAUUUAAAGAGACGACAUUUUCACCUCCGAGAUCAAACCCCUUCCCCCGAAAAACGGGAUGAUUUUUCCAAACUGAUAGACUUGAUUUGUUUUUAAUUCCUGCAUGAGAAGCACCGUGGAAAGUGAGGGUCACUAUGCCGAGGAGAAAGCAGCAAGAGCCGCGGCGAUCAGCAGGUAUAACCGCCUCUCCAUACCGACCAUUUCCCAUCCCAGUAGCCAACUAGUUUUUAUUUACAAGUGUUAAAUGAAAAUAUGUCCUCCCACAUCACAUUCUUUAGCUGUACAGCAUGCUGAGCUUUAUUUUACAACUCUGUUCAAAUUAUGUUUGUUGUCUUAUUAACAGAGCGCGCAACUCAAUCCCUGACCCACCGUUGUGUUUUAAAUGUGUUUAAUUGCGCAAAUGGCGCACAUAUCUGCGCAGUGCCACUGAGAUUUUUUUUUUUUAAAACCCUCCUUUGCCAGGAAAGUUCUCUUAAGAAUGGUGAGAUAAACUAAAUGGCAUGUUAUGGGGGAUAAAAGGGAGCUUUUGAGGUUCAAGAGUGAGUAAUGAUGAAUAAUUGACUGGGAAAGAAGAGGAGAAAACUGGUGAGAGCCGUUUUUUCCCUUUCUUUCUAUUUUAUUAGAGGAUUGCCAUCCUUGAUUUGAUGCGUGAUUGAUCGCCUGUCAUGUGGCAGUCUUUGAUCUAUUCAUCCCUGAUAAACAUCAAUAAAUCCUUCCAUGAAGACA